rnacentral:lncRNA from 1 species
GCUUUUCCAUGCAAUCAGCAUUAGGGUUUUAAACCCUAAAAUGAAUUUUUCCUUUGGUCAGCAUUAGGGUUUUAAACCCUAAACUGAAUUUUUCCUUUAGUUAGCAUUAGGGUUUUAAACCCUAAACUGAACUUUUUUCCAUUCAGCCAGCAUUAGGGUUUUAAACCCUAAACUGAGCUUUUCCAUGCAAUCAACAUUAGGGUUUUAAACCCUAAACUGAAUUUUUCCUUUAAUCAGCAUUAAGGUUUUAAACCCUAAACUGAAUUUUUUCUUUAGUCAGCAUUAGGGUUUUAAACCCUAAACUGAACCUUUUUUCAUUCAGCCAGCAUUAAGGUUUUAAACCCUAAACUGAGCUUUUCCAUGCAAUCAGCACUAGGGUUUUAAACCCUAAACUGAAUUAUUCCUUUAAUCAGCAUUAGGGUUUUAAACCCUAAACUGAAUUUUUCCUUUAGUCAGCAUUAGGGUUUUAAACCCUAAACUGAACUUUUUUCCAUUCAACCAGCAUUAGGGUUGUAAACCCUAAACUGAGCUUUUCCAUGCAAUCAACAUUAGUGUUUUAAACCCUAAACUGAAUUUUUCCUUUAAUCAGCAUUAGGGUUUUAAACCCUAAACUGAAUUUUUCCUUUAGUCAGCAUUAGGGUUUUAAACCCUAAACUGAACCUUUUUUCAUUCAGCCAACAUUAGGGUUUUAAACCCUAAACUGAGCAUUUCCAUGCAAUCAGCAUUAGGGUUUUAACCCUAAACUGAAUUUUUCCUUUAGUCAGCAUUAGGGUUUUAAACCCUAAAUUGAAUUUUCCUUUAGUCAUCAUUAGGGUUUUAAACCCUAAACUGAACUUUUUCCAUUCAGCCAGCAUUAGGGUUUUAAACACUAAACUGAGCUUUUCCAUGCAAUUAGCAUUAGGGUUUUAAACCCUAAACUGAAUUUUUCCUUUGGUCAGCAUUAGGGUUUUAAACCCUAAACUAAAUUUUUCCUUUAGUCAGCAUUAGGGUUUUAAACCCUAAACUGAACUUUUUCCAUUCAGCCAGCAUUAGGGUUUUAAACCCUAAAUUGAGCUCUUCCAUGCAGUCAGCAUUAGGGUUUUAAACCCUAAACUGAAUUUUCCUUUAGUCAGCAUUAGGGUUUUAAACCCUAAACUGAACGUUUUCCAUUCAGUCAGCAUUAGGGUUUUAAACCCUAAACUGAACUCUUUCCUUUAGUCAGCAUUAGGGUUUUAAACCCUAAACUGAACUUUUUCCAUCCAGUCAGCAUUAGAGUUUUAAACCCUAAACUGAACUCUUUCCAUUCAGUCA